GAUUAAAUGGCUGAAUUUUAGGCGAUAAAUUGUAAAUUUAUUUAUGAGAAUUAUUCUCUUUAAUCA
rnacentral:tRNA from 1 species